rnacentral:rRNA from 1 species
CGCUGGCGGCGUGCCUAAUACAUGCAAGUCGAACGGUCUUUUCUAUGGAAGCUUGCUUCCACUGAGAAGAUAGUGGCGAACGGGUGAGUAACACGUGGGUAACCUGCCCAUAAGAGGGGGAUAACAUCCGGAAACGGGUGCUAAUACCGCAUAGUUUUCUUGAUCGCAUGAUUGAGAAAGGAAAGGCGGCCUUUGUGCUGUCGCUUAUGGAUGGACCCGCGGCGUAUUAGUUAGUUGGUGAGGUAACGGCUCACCAAGACGAUGAUACGUAGCCGACCUGAGAGGGUGAUCGGCCACAUUGGGACUGAGACACGGCCCAAACUCCUACGGGAGGCAGCAGUAGGGAAUCUUCCGCAAUGGACGAAAGUCUGACGGAGCAACGCCGCGUGAGUGAAGAAAGGUUUUCGGAUCGUAAAACUCUGUUGUCAGAGAAGAACAAGUUGGAGAGUAACUGCUCCAGCCUUGACGGUAUCUGACCAGAAAGCCACGGCUAACUACGUGCCAGCAGCCGC